rnacentral:rRNA from 1 species
AUAGCGGAGGAAAAGAAACCAACCGGGAUUGCCUCAGUAACGGCGAGUGAAGCGGCAAAAGCUCAAAUUUGAAAUCUGGCGUCUUUUGGCGUCCGAGUUGUAAUUUGAAGAACGGUUCCUGCGUUUGCGCACUUGUCUAUGUUCCUUGGAACAGGACGUCAGAGAGGGUGAGAAUCCCGUUCGAUGGGUGCGCGUUCGCUUGUGGAGCCAGUUCGACGAGUCGAGUUGUUUGGGAAU